CUAGGAACCAUGCGAACAGGCGCCACCCAACCCCGCCAGGUCCGGAAGGAAGCAACGGUAAGUGGAUGCCGGUUGCGCCGUGGGUGGGUUUCGGCCCG
rnacentral:SRP_RNA from 1 species